UACGUAGGGUGCAGGCGUUAAUCGGAAUUACUGGGCGUAAAGCGUGCGCAGGCGGUCUUUUAAGUCAGAUGUGAAAUCCCCGGGCUUAACCUGGGAAUGGCGUUUGAAACUACGGAGCUGGAGUGUGGCAGAGGGAGGUAGAAUUCCACGUGUAGCGGUGAAAUGCUUAGAUAUGACAUAGAACACCAAUUGCGUAGGCAGCCUACUACACGAUCAUUGACGCUGAGGCACGAAAGCGUGGGGAGCAAACAGG
rnacentral:rRNA from 1 species